rnacentral:misc_RNA from 1 species
CCCGCCUCCCGAGCGGGGGCCGCGCAGCCGCGUCUGAAAAGACGGUUAAACUUUUAGGUCUUUCUUUUCCAUUUGUUGCAGCGACUUCGCCAACAACAAGGCACGUUCCGGUGCGGUCCAAUACGGUACGGAACGGUCAGGUCCGGUCCGGAGCGGUGCGCGCUCGCCCACCGCCGCGGACACAGUGCAAAAAUUAUCGCCGAUCUUCGCGUUAACUACAAGCGGCCGCUAAUUCAAAUAUUGUGUACACAUGUGUAAUUGAUAAAUAGCAGCUAUUUGAAACUCACAAACCGCUCCGGAAACACUACUACGUUUUACUUCCGUGUCGGAUAAAGACUGUAUUCGCGUUAUAAUAUUAAAUUAUCUGAAUAAGUUAAAUUAUCAGAUGCUAAGUGUAAGUAAGUACUACAUGACUGUGGCUAUUUAACGGUCAGUCGGCUCAGUGUAGGCCGCAGCGUAUUUCAAAGAUCUAAUCCAGAGUCUCACAGGUCUACUAGGCGGCAAGUUCAACCAGAACCAAUUCAUUAAAGGUAGAUUGAAAUCCCGUUUGUUUCCGACAGCAGUGUGUACUACAGGACUGGGGCGGUGUGUACUACACUCGCUGUAUCG